AAGUCGUAACAAGGUUUCCGUAGGUGAACCUGCGGAAGGAUCAUUAAUGCUUUUUUUUUUUCUUUGAUCUCUUUUUUUCAAACGAGAGAUGCCAAGUGAACUUUUUUUUCCCAAUAUCUGAAAAAGAAAAACAAAAAAAAACCCAAGAAGAAAAAAGAAAACAGCAAUGAAGGAAAGCCAGAAGCAAAAUGUGUUUCUCUUUCUUUUCUUGUUUUUCUUUUUCUCUCUUUUUUUUUUUUGUUUUCUCUUUCUUUUUUUUUUCAACCCCAACAACAAAUACCAAACCAAAUUGACUAAACGAACCAAGAAACCAAAAUAAAACAAAAAAACAACUCUUAACAAUGGAUAUCUUGGCUCUC
rnacentral:misc_RNA from 1 species